AUUGAACGCUGGCGGCAGGCCUAACACAUGCAAGUCGAGCGGAUGAGGAAAGCUUGCUUUUCGAUUCAGCGGCGGACGGGUGAGUAAUGCCUAGGAAUCUGCCUGUUAGUGGGGGAUAACUCGGGGAAACUCGGGCUAAUACCGCAUACGUCCUACGGGAGAAAGUGGGGGAUCUUCGGACCUCACGCUAACAGAUGAGCCUAGGUCGGAUUAGCUAGUAGGUGAGGUAAUGGCUCACCUAGGCGACGAUCCGUAACUGGUCUGAGAGGAUGAUCAGUCACACUGGAACUGGGACACGGUCCAGACUCCUACGGGAGGCAGCAGUGGGGAAUAUUGGACAAUGGGCGAAAGCCUGAUCCAGCCAUGCCGCGUGUGUGAAGAAGGUCUUCGGACUGUAAAGCACUUUAAGUUGGGAGGAAGGGUAUUCACCUAAUACGUGGGUACUUUGACGUUACCAACAGAAUAAGCACCGGCUAACUCUGUGCCAGCAGCCGCCGUAAGAC
rnacentral:rRNA from 1 species